rnacentral:rRNA from 1 species
ACAAGCGGUGGAGUAUGUGGUUUAAUUCGAUGCAACGCGAAGAACCUUACCUGGUCUUGACAUCCCGGAGACCCUUAGGAAACUAGGGGGUGCUUCCAUCUGGAAGAAUCUGGAGACAGGUGCUGCAUGGCUGUCGUCAGCUCGUGUCGUGAGAUGUUGGGUUAAGUCCCGCAACGAGCGCAACCCUUGCCUUUAGUUGCCAGCAGUUCGGCUGGGCACUCUAAAGGGACUGCCGGUGUUAAACCGGAGGAAGGUGGGGAUGACGUCAAGUCCUCAUGGCCUUUAUGACCAGGGCUACACACGUACUACAAUGGCCGAUACAAAGGGCAGCGACACUGCGAGGUGAAGCCAAUCCCGUAAAAUCGGUCUCAGUCCGGAUUGGAGUCUGCAACUCGACUCCAUGAAGUUGGAAUCGCUAGUAAUCGCGCAUCAGCCAUGGCGCGGUGAAUACGUUCCCGGGCCUU